rnacentral:rRNA from 1 species
UACGUAGGUGGCAAGCGUUGUCCGGAAUUAUUGGGCGUAAAGAGCUCGUAGGCGGCCAGUUGCGUCUGCUGUGAAAUCCCGGGGCUCAACCCCGGGCUUGCAGUGGAUACGGGCUGGCUGGAGGCAGGCAGGGGAGAACGGAAUUCCUGGUGUAGCAGUGAAAUGCGUAGAUAUCAGGAGGAACACCGAUGGCGAAGGCAGGCCCCUGG